rnacentral:rRNA from 1 species
CCUACGGGUGGCAGCAGUGGGGAAUAUUGGACAAUGGGGGCAACCCUGAUCCAGCCAUGCCGCGUGUGUGAAGAAGGCCCUCGGGUUGUAAAGCACUUUCAGUGAGGAAGAACGCCUGGUGGUUAAUACCCAUCAGGAAAGACAUCACUCACAGAAGAAGCACCGGCUAACUCCGUGCCAGCAGCCGCGGUAAUACGGAGGGUGCGAGCGUUAAUCGGAAUUACUGGGCGUAAAGCGCGCGUAGGUGGCUUGAUAAGCCGGUUGUGAAAGCCCCGGGCUCAACCUGGGAACGGCAUCCGGAACUGUCAAGCUAGAGUGCAGGAGAGGAAGGUAGAAUUCCCGGUGUAGCGGUGAAAUGCGUAGAGAUCGGGAGGAAUACCAGUGGCGAAGGCGGCCUUCUGGACCGACACUGACACUGAGGUGCGAAAGCGUGGGUAGCAAACAGGAUUAGAUACCCGAGUAGUC